GUUCACUUUGGCAGUACACAUACUAAAAUUGAAAUAAUCCAGAAUAGAUACAUCAACAUUACCACUGCACAAGGAAGACAUACAAAUUCUUCAAGCAUGUCAUAUUUUA